GAUCAUGGCUCAGGACGAACGCUGGCGGCGUGCUUAACACAUGCAAGUCGAACGGUGAAGCGCCUUCCUUUUUGGUGGGUGUGGAUGAGUGGCGAACGGGUGAGUAAAACGUGAGUAACCUGCCCCCUUCUUCUGGAUAACCGCAUGAAAGUGUGGCUAAUACGGGAUAUUCUGUGCCUGCUGCAUGGUGGGUGUGGGAAAGAUUGCGCUUUUUUGGUGUUUUUGGUGGGGGAUGGGCUCGCGGCCUAUCAGCUUGUUGGUGGGGUGAUGGCCUACCAAGGCGGUGACGGGUAGCCGGCCUGAGAGGGUGGACGGUCACACUGGGACUGAGACACGGCCCAGACUCCUACGGGAGGCAGCAGUGGGGAAUAUUGCACAAUGGGCGCAAGCCUGAUGCAGCGACGCCGCGCGAGGGAUGGAGGCCUUCGGGUUGUGAACCUCUUUCGCCAGUGAAGCAGGCCUGCUCCUUUUUUGUGGGUGGGUUGACGGUAGCUGGAUAAGAAGCGCCGGCUAACUACGUGCCAGCAGCCGCGGUAAUACGUAGGGCGCGAGCGUUGUCCGGAAUUAUUGGGCGUAAAGAGCUCGUAGGCGGCUGGUCGCGUCUGUCGUGAAAUCCUCUGGCUUAACUGGGGGCUUGCGGUGGGUACGGGCCGGCUUGAGUGCGGUAGGGGAGACUGGAACUCCUGGUGUAGCGGUGGAAUGCGCAGAUAUCAGGAAGAACACCGGUGGCGAAGGCGGGUCUCUGGGCCGUUACUGACGCUGAGGAGCGAAAGCGUGGGGAGCGAACAGGAUUAGAUACCCUGGUAGUCCACGCCGUAAACGUUGGGCACUAGGUGUGGGGGGCCUUUUCCGGGUUUUCCGCGCCGUAGCUAACGCAUUAAGUGCCCCGCCUGGGGAGUACGGCCGCAAGGCUAAAACUCAAAGGAAUUGACGGGGGCCCGCACAAGCGGCGGAGCAUGCGAAUUAAUUCGAUGCAACGCGAAGAACCUUACCAAGGCUUGACAUGUGCCGGUCGGCUCCGGAGACGGGGUUUCCUCCUUGUGGGGCCGGUUCACAGGUGGUGCAUGGUUGUCGUCAGCUCGUGUCGUGAGAUGUUGGGUUAAGUCCCGCAACGAGCGCAACCCUUGUCUCGUGUUGCCAGCACGUUGUGGUGGGGACUCGCGGGAGACUGCCGGGGUCAACUCGGAGGAAGGUGGGGAUGACGUCAAAUCAUCAUGCCCCUUAUGUCUUGGGCUUCACGCAUGCUACAAUGGCCGGUACAGAGGGCUGCGAUACCGUGAGGUGGAGCGAAUCCCUUAAAGCCGGUCUCAGUUCGGAUCGGUGUCUGCAACUCGACACCGUGAAGUUGGAGUCGCUAGUAAUCGCAGAUCAGCAACGCUGCGGUGAAUACGUUCUCGGGCCUUUACACACCGCCCGUCA
rnacentral:rRNA from 1 species